rnacentral:rRNA from 1 species
CUCUACGGCCAUACCACCCUGAACGCACCCGAUCUUGUCUGAUCUCGGAAGCUAAGCAGGGUCAGGCCUGGUUAGUACUUGGAUGGGAGGCUAUCUUUCCUUUUCCCUAUGAGUCUGUCUUCCCAAUGUAAAUA